rnacentral:rRNA from 1 species
UACGGAGGGUGCAAGCGUUGUUCGGAAUCACUGGGCGUAAAGCGCACGUAGUCGGCUUUGCAAGUCGGGUGUGAAAUCCCGGGCUCAACCUGGGAACUGCAUCCGAGACUGCAUUGCUAGAGUAUGGAGAGGAAGCGGAAUUUCUGGUGUAGCAGUGAAAUGCGUAGAUAUCAGAAGGAACAUCAGUGGCGAAGGCGGCUUCCUGGACCAAUACUGACGAUACAGGUGCGAAGCGUGGGA